rnacentral:rRNA from 1 species
GACGAACGCUGGCGGCGUGCCUAAUACAUGCAAGUAGAACGCUGAAGGCGGAGCUUGCUCUUCUGGAUGAGUUGCGAACGGGUGAGUAACGCGUAGGUAACCUGCCUGGUAGCGGGGGAUAACUAUUGGAAACGAUAGCUAAUACCGCAUAAGAGUAGAUGUUGCAUGACAUUUACUUAAAAGGUGCAAUUGCAUCACUACCAGAUGGACCUGCGUUGUAUUAGCUAGUUGGUGGGGUAACGGCUUACCAAGGCGACGAUACAUAGCCGACCUGAGAGGGUGAUCGGCCACACUGGGACUGGGACACGGCCCAGACUCCUGCGGGAGGCAGCAGGAGGGGAUCUUCGGCAAUGGACGGAAGUCUGACCGAGCAACGCCGCGUGAGUGAAGAAGGGUUUCGGAUCGUAAAGCUGUGUUGUAAGAUAAGAAUGGGAGUGAGAGUGGCAAGUUCACACUGUGACGGUAUCUUACCAGAAAGCGACGGCUAACUACGUG